AUGCUGUGGGGUGGAGCUUCAUGAACCUUUAUCAUGUUGGCAGAUUAUAAUGCUGACAUUUACCCUGAGAUAAGAGCAUUCACCAUGUUCACUGUUGUAUUCAUGUGUCUGUGGCUUUUACUGGGUGACUCCAUGGCAGAUUCAAUAGAUCCACUUUUUACUCAUAAAGCUGUAGAUGAAGGUGAUAAUGUUACUCUGUCCUGCAGAUAUGAAAUCACUGGUACAACAACCUACAACCUCCACUGGUAUAAACAAUAUCCAAAAUCUAAACCUGAGUUCCUUCUUAAUAUUAUGCAGACUGGAACUCUAGUUUCCAAUAAACCAGCACGAAUGGAUGCUAAAAUUCGUGUAGAUAAAGUGGAUCUGAUCAUCUCCUCUGCUGCUGUAUCAGACUCUGCUCUAUACUACUGUGCUCUGGUGCCCACAGUGACAGGAAAUCCAGCUGCACUGUACAAAAACACUGACACAGUUUUGUUAAAGUAUAUUGAAGGAAGUUCUGACAAAUAUUUUGAGAAGUUUAAAUACCCUUAAGGAUUGUUUCUCGUAUUUAUAAAAAGAAUAUAUUGUUGGUACAUGCAUUAAUUCUUUAUUAAAUUAUCUAC